rnacentral:rRNA from 1 species
GAUGAACGCUAGCGGCAGGCCUAAUACAUGCAAGUCGAGGGGCAGCAGGGAUAGCAAUAUUCGCUGGCGACCGGCGCACGGGUGCGUAACACGUAUACAAUCUGCCUUUAACUGGGGGAUAGCCCGGAGAAAUCCGGAUUAAUACCCCAUAAUACUUGAAAUGGCAUCAUUUUAAGUUGAAAGCUCCGGCGGUUAAAGAUGAGUAUGCGUCUGAUUAGCUAGUUGGUGAGGUAACGGCUCACCAAGGCAACGAUCAGUAGGGGAUCUGAGAGGAUUAACCCCCACACGGAUACUGAGACACGGAUCCGACUCCUACGGGAGGCAGCAGUAAGGAAUAUUGGACAAUGCCCGCAAGGGUGAUCCAGCCAUGCCGCGUGCAGGAAGACGGCCCUAUGGGUUGUAAACUGCUUUUACACCGGAGAAAACCCCAGUACGUGUACUGGGCUGAUAGUAUGGUGAGAAUAAGCAUCGGCUAACUUCGUGC